UACGGAGGGAGCUAGCGUUGUUCGGAUUUACUGGGCGUAAAGGGCGCGUAGGCGGACAGUUAAGUCGGGGGUGAAAGCCCGGGGCUCAACCUCGGAAUUGCCUUCGAUACUGGCUGUCUUGAGUACGGGAGAGGUGUGUGGAACUCCGAGUGUAGAGGUGAAAUUCGUAGAUAUUCGGAAGAACACCAGUGGCGAAGGCGACACACUGGCCCGUUACUGACGCUGAGGCGCGAAAGCGUGGGGAGCAAACAGG
rnacentral:rRNA from 1 species